rnacentral:rRNA from 1 species
AGACCCGAAACCCGGUGAUCUAGCCAUGGGCAGGUUGAAGGUUGGGUAACACUAACUGGAGGACCGAACCGACUAAUGUUGAAAAAUUAGCGGAUGACCUGUGGCUGGGGGUGAAAGGCCAAUCAAACCGGGAGAUAGCUGGUUCUCCCCGAAAGCUAUUUAGGUAGCGCCUCGUGAAUUCAUCUCCGGGGGUAGAGCACUGUUUCGGCUAGGGGGCCAUCCCGGCUUACCAACCCGAUGCAAACUGCGAAUACCGGAGAAUGUUAUCACGGGAGACACACGGCGGGUGCUAACGUCCGUCGUGAAGAGGGAAACAACCCAGACCGCCAGCUAAGGUCCCAAAGUCAUGGUUAAGUGGGAAACGAUGUGGGAAGGCCCAGACAGCCAGGAUGUUGGCUUAGAAGCAGCCAUCAUUUAAAGAAAGCGUAAUAGCUCACUGGUCGAGUCGGCCUGCGCGGAAGAUGUAACGGGGCUAAACCAUGCACCGAAGCUGCGGCAGCGACACUCAGGUGUUGUUGGGUAGGGGAGCGUUCUGUAAGUCUGCGAAGGUGGCCUGUGAGGGUUGCUGGAGGUAUCAGAAGUGCGAAUGCUGACAUAAGUAACGAUAAAGCGGGUGAAAAGCCCGCUCGCCGGAAGACCAAGGGUUCCUGUC